AUACGGAGGGUGCGAGCGUUGUUCGGAAUCACUGGGCGUAAAGGGCGCGCAGGCGGUCUGUCAAGUCAGAUGUGAAAGCCCACGGCUCAACCGUGGACGUGCAUCUGAAACUGGCAGACUCGAGUACCGGAGGGGAAAGUGGAAUUCCCGGUGUAGAGGUGAAAUUCGUAGAUAUCGGGAGGAAUACUGGAGGCGAAGGCGACUUUCUGGACGGAUACUGACGCUGAGGCGCGAAAGCGUGGGGAGCGAACAGGAUUAGAAACCCUAGUAGUCC
rnacentral:rRNA from 1 species